AAAACGCAUAUAGGUAAAUUUAUACGUGAAUGAUAGCGAUAAUGGU
rnacentral:guide_RNA from 1 species